UACGGAGGGUCCCAAGCGUUAUCCGGAUUCAUUGGGUUUAAAGGGUGCGUAGGCGGAAUAAUAAGUCAGUGGUGAAAUCCUACGGCUCAACUGUAGAAUUGCCAUUGAUACUGUUAUUCUUGAGUACAGUUGGAGUAGGCGGAAUGUGUCAUGUAGCGGUGAAGUGCAUAGAUAUGACACAGAACACCGAUCGCGAAGGCAGCUUGCUAAACUGUUACUGACGCUGAGGCACGAAAGCGUGGGGAUCAAACAGGAUUAGAUACCCUAGUAGU
rnacentral:rRNA from 1 species